rnacentral:rRNA from 1 species
UACGUAGGGUGCGAGCGUUGUCCGGAAUUAUUGGGCGUAAAGGGCUCGUAGGCGGUUUGUCGCGUCUGCUGUGAAAACCUAAGGCUCAACCUUGGGCUUGCAGUGGGUACGGGCAGACUAGAGUGCGGUAGGGGUGACUGGAAUUCCUGGUGUAGCGGUGGAAUGCGCAGAUAUCAGGAGGAACACCGAUGGCGAAGGCAGGUCACUGGGCCGCAACUGACGCUGAGGAGCGGAAAGCAUGGGGAGCGAACAGG